AUUGAACGCUGGCGGCAUGCCUUACACAUGCCAGUCGAACGGCAGCACGGGUGCUUGCCCCUGGUGGCGAGUGGCGAACGGGUGAGUAAUACAUCGGAACAUGUCCUGUAGUGGGGGAUAGCCCGGCGAAAGCCGGAUUAAUACCGCAUACGAUCUACGGAUGAAAGCGGGGGACCUUCGGGCCUCGCGCUAUAGGGUUGGCCGAUGGCUGAUUAGCUAGUUGGUGGGGUAAAGGCCUACCAAGGCGACGAUCAGUAGCUGGUCUGAGAGGACGACCAGCCACACUGGGACUGAGACACGGCCCAGACUCCUACGGGAGGCAGCAGUGGUGAAUUUUGGACAAUGGGCGAAAGCCUGAUCCAGCAAUGCCGCGUGUGUGAAGAAGGCCUUCGGGUUGUAAAGCACUUUUGUCCGGAAAGAAAUCCUUGGCCCUAAUACGGUCGGGGGAUGACGGUACCGGAAGAAUAAGCACCGGCUAACUACGUG
rnacentral:rRNA from 1 species